CAGGUUUUGGACGAGAUGGGCCGAAUUCUAGAGGCAGGCAACAAGAACUUCACUGACCAGAUCAAAGCCAGAUGGGAAAGCUUUUCUUUGGAGUGUGGAACAAGUCGUUGAAGCCACCAAUGGGUCUGGAUACAUCUGGACAAGCGAUUGCUUUCAUGAAGGCACUUCCCUCAAUGUUUCCUUCCCCAACUGCCCCACCCAAAAAGCUUGGGUCAGCAAGUGAGGCACUGUUCCAUGUUCUUGAGCCAUCCGAGGACCCCAAUACAUUUCUCCAGAAACGGCCCAUCACCAGUCCAGUCAUCUUGGUAGACUCGAGGUGUGUGUGGUACAGUGUGUAGGUGUGUGUGUGUGGUACAGUGUGUAGGUGUGUGUGUGGUACAGUG